rnacentral:rRNA from 1 species
UACGUAGGGUGCGAGCGUUGUCCGGAAUUAUUGGGCGUAAAGAGCUUGGUAGGUGGUUUGUCGCGUCUGCUGUGAAAAUCCGAGGCUCAACCUCGGACUUGCAGUGGGUACGGGCAGACUAGAGUGUGGUAGGGGGAGACUGGAAUUCCUGGGUGUAGCGGUGAAAUGCGCAGAUAUUUGGAGGAACACCGGUGGCGAAGGGCGGCAUCCUGGACCGGC